GGGGGUGAAUUAGCUUCGACGUGGCGAUUAGGGUACAUCCUGCAUGUGGAGUUGCUCUACCUCCUAAAUCUGGGGCAAACCAUAAAUGCCAACAAUGGCAACAAUGCUUACGCUCUCGCCGCCUAAUCCCGGCUAGACUAAGCAGCUCAGCACCAUAGCUGGGCCGUCCGUCCUCUUCGUGUCCGGUCGGGGAGAUUGACGGGCGUCAUCAAUACCGGACUGCGCGGGGCUGACGCCGAUACGGCUCCGCAAAGACCUAUCGGCUAGGGGUCGGGUCAUACCCAAGUCUGCUGGGGUUUCCCGCCGCGAAAACCCAAAUCCGCAGACUAAACAUGUAGACGGGUGCUAUUCGGUUGUUGCGGACAGGGGUGCGACUCCCCUCACCUCCACUG
rnacentral:tmRNA from 1 species